rnacentral:rRNA from 1 species
UACGGGGGGAGCAAGCGUUGUUCGGAUUUACUGGGCGUAAAGGGUGCGUAGGCGGUAGCACAAGUCAGUUGUGAAAUCUCCGGGCUUAACUCGGAAAGGUCAACUGAUACUGUGCGACUAGAGUGCAGAAGGGGCAACUGGAAUUCUCGGUGUAGCGGUGAAAUGCGUAGAUAUCGAGAGGAACACCUGCGGCGAAGGCGGGUUGCUGGGCUGACACUGACGCUGAGGCGCGAAAGCUAGGGGAGCGAACGGG